UCACAAGAUUUUUUUUUUCGGAUUCUUAUUUACCUUUCUAAAAGGGAAGAAGGAUCCUAUUCAGCUGUAGGAGUCUAUGAUUGAAUGAUUAAGCAAUAAAAUAUGUGACUCUUUACAUCAUGAUGCAUCGACCUACUAGACUUUGAAAGACUUGCCCAAGCAUGCUAUAGAUCUGCCAGGACCUUCUUUGUUUCGCAUGCCAACAAAAAACAGACGACAAAGAGCAUCGGAUCAUGCAAGACACGAUGGCAGGUUCUCCAUGGUACGAAAGACACAGACAGAUGAUUCCCCCCAUAGAUGAAGUUUUUGGAGCUGUGGCAUGCAGUCUGGUUGAAAUGCUAAUCUCAGCAUCCUGAAACCAAGCAAGAAGUAUCUCAGGCUGCUGAAUCCUUUGCCUGGAAUGACUAUGGGCUUUUCAGUUGCUGAUCUUGUCCACAGCUCAAGAUGCAGCAGACAAGGGAGAGCACAUUUUAUGGUUUGCCAUGUUGUCAAGCACCAAAUAUCAUCAAUA